rnacentral:misc_RNA from 1 species
GAUGAAGAACGUAGCGAAAUGCGAUAAGUAAUGUGAAUUACAGAAUUCAGUGAAUCAUCGAAUCUUUGAACGCACAUUGCGCCCGCCAGUAUUCUGGCGGGCAUGCCUGUCCGAGCGUCAUUUCAACCAUCAAGCCCCGGGCUUGUGUUGGGGACCUGCGUCCGACGCAGGCCCUGAAAACCAGUGGCGGGCUCGCUGUCCACACCGAGCGUAGUAACUAACCUCGCUAUGGAGUGGCGCGGGCGCCUGCCGUAAAACCCCCAAUUUCACAAGGUUGACCUCGGAUCAGGUAGGAAUACCCGCUGAACUUAAGCAUAUCAAUAAGCGGAGGA